GGAUAGCUCAGUCGGUAGAGCAGGAGACUCUUAAACUCGGGGUUGUGGGUUCGAGCCCCACCUUGAGCA